GUACCUUUAACUCAGUUGGUUAGAGCAGACGGCUCAUAACCGUCCGGUCGUAGGUUCGAAUCCUACAAGGUACA
rnacentral:tRNA from 1 species